rnacentral:rRNA from 1 species
AUUGAACGCUGGCGGCAUGCCUUACACAUGCAAGUCGAACGGCAGCACGGGUGCUUGCCCCUGGUGGCGAGUGGCGAACGGGUGAGUAAUACAUCGGAACAUGUGCUGUAGCGGGGGAUAGCCCGGCGAAAGCCGGAUUAAUACCGCAUACGAUCUACGGAUGAAAGCGGGGGACCUUCGGGCCUCGCGCUAUAGGGUUGGCCGAUGGCUGAUUAGCUAGUUGGUGGGGUAAAGGCCUACCAAGGCGACGAUCAGUAGCUGGUCUGAGAGGACGACCAGCCACACUGGGACUGAGACACGGCCCAGACUCCUACGGGAGGCAGCAGUGGGGAAUUUUGGACAAUGGGCGAAAGCCUGAUCCAGCAAUGCCGCGUGUGUGAAGAAGGCCUUCGGGUUGUAAAGCACUUUUGUCCGGAAAGAAAUCCUUGGCCCUAAUACGGUCGGGGGAUGACGGUACCGGAAGAAUAAGCACCGGCUAACUACGUG